AGUAAUUGAUUUUUUUGAAAACUUUUUAUAUAUAUUUUUUUAUGAAAGUUCUAUCAAAACUUUUUAAAAUGAUCAAUUAACAAGUGUCAUCCAUCAACAUGACUAAGUAUAAAACAAUCUCUUUAGUAAAUCACAUCACUCAUUAAAUUAUUCAAACAACUUAGUUUGUUUGUUGAGAGAGAGUCAAAUUGCCAAAACCGCUACAGGUAAGCAUUUAUUAUUAGGGUCAUUCUACUGUAUCCACCUAUUUUUUUAGAGGGUAUGGUACCCACCCAAAUCUUAGCUGCAUAUUUUUAUUGAUUCAAUCCAGACAAUUUAUUUAGGUUUAAUAGUAAACCUGAUACCGGUAGAAUAGGUAGUGUAUAAAAUCAAAACAAAAAACCAAAGGAAAAGAGAGAAACGAGAGAACGAAAGUCGGUUAAAAGAAGAAAAAAAACGGAGAAUGAAAGACAGAGGGACGAGGAAGCAGAUCGUCCAUCGCAAGCAAUGUGCCACCGCCAUCACCAGCACUCACCAUCCACCUCCUUUAUAUUGUCCGCCACUGCCACUGCCACUGAAAUGUUGAAAACAACAAAUUUACUGGAUGGAGUCCGGACCAAUUGAAAGAAAUAAACUUAGAAUCUGGAGGUAAUUCCUGGUCAUCUAGAGGAGCUCAUCCUCCUCCUCCUGGUACACCACAUGUUCUUGAUCAACAUACUACUUAAAAACAUUCUGGAGGUAAGUCUGUCAUGAGUGGAGCAGCAAUAGUUGGAAUAGCUUUGGGUGUACUGGCAGCAACUGGGGCUCUAAUUGCACUAUUUUCAUGAAGAAAGUCAUCUCCUUCCUCACAUUUCCUUGAUGAAGAGAGAUCUAGCCAAAGUAGAUCAUUUAGUCCUCUUGCAUCUCAGGAAUUAUCCAAAGACUUGCCUACCGACAUAAGCAACGACUUCAAAGGGCAUAGGUCAGUGGAUUCAUUUGCUUCAAUUGAUAUAAAGACCUUACAAAAGUCUCCCUCAGUUGGUUUUAAGCUUCCACCUCCUGAGUUUAAGCAAACUUAUAAUGACAAUGAGUUCGCUAACCUUCUGAAUGCUAGAAAAAGCACCUCCAUUCGUGCUACAUCCUACUCUUUGGCAGAUUUACAACUUGCUACUGCUAAUUUCGCGUCAGGCCACCUUCUAGAAAAAGCAUCUCAUUUUAUAAUUGAAGAAUUACCUAUUAUUGGGAUACGAAGGAGCAAUACAUGAAGCCAUUAGAGAUUAACUAUGUUUCAAAUUAUGGUAUGUGAAAAUGUGGAAAAUAUAAGCUUCCUAAUUGAAUUGAAUGAUGGAAUUCUUCAGAGGCAGUGGCAAAGAAAGUGGACUUGGAUUUUUGUUUGAUGUUCCUAUUGUAGGGUACUUUGUAAUUUUUUUUUCUCAAAAAAAUAAAAUAAAAUAAAAAGAAUUGAAAUUUGUGUCA